AUCAGCAAGUGAUCAGUUCAAUCUUACUUUUUCUGUUGGAAUGUUUUCUUUCAAUCAAAAGGCAUGGGAUUCUUGGACUCACUAAAGACGACCAUGGCAUUAAAUGAGACCCUUGGGAAUAAUCUUACAAGAUCUCUCUAUAAUGAGUCCUCAACCCUUCUGGCCUACGACUACAAUAUCUAUCCCACCUUCUGCCCUGAGGCAGUGGCUGUCGACAAAUACGUUACCCCCUACACAUACGUAAUCGGAUUUCCUGGAAACGUGUUCUCGCUUCUCAUUUGGCUCCAGCGACGCAUGCGGAACUCCUCUGGAUACUACCUUGCUGCUCUGGCCCUUGUGGAUCUUUUGUUUUUGUUACUACAAGUUGUCUAUGAACUGAAUGAAAAGUGGGAAGUAAAAUGUUUGGAUUUACCAUUCGUUUGUGAAUUUUACCCCAUUAUUUUCUUGACCUCCCAAUAUCUCUCUCCAAUUCUUGUUUUGUCUUUUACCGUCGAAAGAUACAUAAGUAUCUGUCACCCUUUUAAACGAGAAACUUGGUGCACAACAAGAAAUGCUAAAUUAGUGAUCAUCGGAACAACUUUAGGUUGUCUGUGCGUUAACAGUAUUCAAGGCUUUUUCUGGUCGUAUGAUUCUGAGAACAAAACUUGUCUUCUACGACAUUCAGUGAUCGAGAACGGGACUGAAUCCUUCUGGGCAAUAUGGACCUGGUGUGUGGAGGCCUUUGUAUUCCUUUUAGUGCCGUUGGCUAUAUUAUUUUUCAAUAUUCUUGUUAUCGUAGAAGCUCGAAGACUUUCAAAGUUCGAACAGACCACUCUCCAUACACGGACGUAUAGAAAUUCAGCAACGACAGUUAUGUUAUUGGCGGUUUCUUUUUACCAAAUAUUUACCACACUUCCUGUGACAAUCGUUGUAACUUUAUACUAUACGUUUCCCCCAGGUGAUAUUAAUGUUUUGCCAACGAUAACCGAUACAUGGAAGGCUCAUUUUCAGUAUUACUGGGCAAAAACCAUAAUUGAAGAAAUAGGUUUGACUCAUUACGCAGGAAACUUUUAUAUUUAUCUAUUAACUGGUAAAGUUUUCAGAAAAGAGUUCAAAAAACUCAUGAGGCCAUUAUUUGGCGGAUUAAAAGAAAAACUUACCAACACUUUAAAAACAGAAUAUUCCAUUGUGCGAACUGGCAGUGUCAAACCGAAAAAGGAAGUGAAAGUUUGCAUAUGCAAUGGGAAUGAGAAUGAGAAUCUUCCUGUCUCAACCGAAAGCGAGCCGAUUCUUAGCUCGCCAGAGACGCACCUGUGAUUUUGUUAAAUUGUUGAAAUAUACACAUAAAUUGUAAAAGUACAUGCAGUCUUUGAUGGUUAUUUAUAUAUUUAACAUGACUCGGACCAGAUGAUAUUUAGGACUUUAAAUGUACUUAAAUUGCUCAUCUCAUGAAAUACCCUAGCAAUUUGAACACAAACAGAAUCCAGAUAUUGAAAUGAAAGUUGAACGAGAAAAUGGAUUUUCUGAUGAAGAAAAAAAAUGAUUGAAUAACAAUUCAUCUCUAUGAAGAAAGAGUGAAAAAGAUGAGAAGUUGAUAAGAAUAACUAAGUGCAGACUUCGGAAAAGGAGUAACAAAAUUGUUGGAGAAAAAUGAAACAAGAAGUUUUGAGAAAAAGUGAACAUACGAAGAGAAAUAUUUGGACUGUAGUCUUUGCAAUAAAAAAAGUGGUUGCACUUUUUCUUUGAAUUUAAGACAGAAAUCAUGUCAGAUGUUUGUGUCAUGUUUUCACACACCUUAAGUCCCAUUUAUUUGAGCCUUGUAGAACAAACGUUUUGCCAAGUAUAUGUAUUUACCAGACACCAAGUUUGUUUAAUCUUUGUGUCACAUAACUGUUAUUCAUGCAUAUACUGUAAACAGGGUUAUUUUCGCCCCGUGUUAUUUUCAACCUGUCACACUUGCAAACUAUUUAACCCCGUUUUAAAUUCUCCCAGACACAGCUGUAUUUAAGAGAUUAUACUGUAUUCUUUGAAUUCGUCCACGUUUAAAAAAUUCGCCCACCUGCAACGAGGUUGAAUGCGGCAAAAAUAAAACGAGCGAAUAUUUCCCUGUAUACAGUAACUGUGCCUUUUAAUAUACGUUUAGUGAAACGUGAUAUCUAUUAUCAGUUGUAGGAUGAUCAAUAAAAACAAUUUGUUAUGUUUGCAGAAUAUGUCCCAUUAUAUGAAUCAGCAGAUUAAGUAUUUCUCUCUCUCCCUCUCUCUUUGUGUGUGUAUGUAUGUGUUAUAGUAACGGUUAGAUUUAUGAUAUUUUGUACGAUAUAUUUCUUUGGGUUAGAGGGAGAUUUUGUUAUUUAAGAAAGCUUUCUUUCUAAUCAUCCUACAAAUACAUUUUCUGUCAGGACUAAAGUCUUAAAUAUUAGAAACAAACAUUGUAAUUGGGUUGUUUAA